CCUACGGGUGGCAGCAGUGAGGAAUAUUGGUCAAUGGACGAGAGUCUGAACCAGCCAAGUAGCGUGAAGGAUGACUUCCCUAUGGGCUGUAAACUUCUUUUAUAAAGGAAUAAAACGAGGCACGUGUGCCUUUUCGCUUGUACUUUAUGAAUAAGGAUCGGCUAACUCCGUGCCAGCAGCCGCGGUAAUACGGAGGAUCCGAGCGUUAUCCGGAUGUAUUGGGUUUAAAGGGAGCGUAGAUGGGUUGUUAAGUCAGUUGUGAAAGUUUGCGGCUCAACCGUAAAAUUGCAAUUGAUACUGGCAGUCUUGAGUACAGUUGAGGUAGGCGGAAUUCGUGGUGUAGCGGUGAAAUGCUUAGAUAGCACGAAGAACCCCGAUUGCGAAGGCAGCUUACUAAACUGUGACUGACAUUGAUGCUCGAAAGUGUGGGUAUCAAACAGGAUUAGAUACCCCAGUAGUC
rnacentral:rRNA from 1 species